rnacentral:rRNA from 1 species
CAAGUCGAACGCGAAAGCUCCCUUCGGGGAGCAAGUAGAGUGGCGCACGGGUGAGUAACACGUAGGUAAUCUACCUUUGGAUUGGGAAUAACAACCGGAAACGGUUGCUAAUACCGAAUAAUGCAGCGGCACCUAAUGGUGACAGUUGUUAAAGCGGGGGAUCGCAAGACCUCGCGUCUGAAGAGGAGCCUGCGGCAGAUUAGCUAGUUGGUAAGGUAAUGGCUUACCAAGGCUAUGAUCUGUAGCCGGCCUGAGAGGGCGGUCGGCCACACUGACACUGACAUACGGGUCAGACUCCUACGGGAGGCAGCAGUCGGGAAUUUUGGGCAAUGGGCGAAAGCCUGACCCAGCAACGCCGCGUGAAGGAUGAAAUCCCUCGGGAUGUAAACUUCGCAAGAACGGGAAGAAUAAGUAAGGGUUAAUAUCCCUUACGAUGACGGUACUGUUUGUAAGCUCCGGCUAACUCCGUGCCAGCAGCCGCGGUAAUACGGGGGGAGCAAGCGUUGUUCGGAUUUACUGGGCGUAAAGGGCGCGUAGGCGGCCACCGCAAGUCAGUUGUGAAAUCUCCGGGCUUAACCCGGAAAGGUCAACUGAUACUGCGGGGCUAGAGUGCAGAAGGGGCAACUGGAAUUCUCGGUGUAGCGGUGAAAUGCGUAGAUAUCGAGAGGAACACCUGCGGCGAAGGCGGGUUGCUGGGCUGACACUGACGCUGAUGCGCGAAAGCUAGGGGAGCGAACGGGAUUAGAUACCCCGGUAGUCCUAGCCUUAAACGAUGAAUGCUUGGUGUCUGGGGUUUUAUAGUCCCCGGGUGCCGUCGCUAACGCUUUAGCAUUCCGCCUGGGGGAGUACGGUC